GCCCAGCUGGCUCAAUGGUAGAGCACUAGACUUCUAAUCUAGAGGCUGUGGGUUCGAGUCCCACGUUGGGUG